GACGAACGCUGGCGGCGUGCUUAACACAUGCAAGUCGAACGGAAAGGCCCUGCUUUUGCGGGGUGCUCGAGUGGCGAACGGGUGAGUAACACGUGAGUAACCUGCCCUUGACUUUGUGAUAACUUCAGGAAACUGGGGCUAAUACCGGAUAGGAGCUCCUGCUGCAUGGUGGGGGUUGGAAAGUUUCGGCGGUUGGGGAUGGACUCGCGGCUUAUCAGCUUGUUGGGGGGGUAGUGGCUUACCAAGGGUUUGACGGGUAGCCGGCCUGAGAGGGUGACCGGCCACAUUGGGACUGAGAUACGGACCAGACUCCUACGGGAGGCAGCAGUGGGGAAUAUUGCACAAUGGGCGGAAGCCUGAUGCAGCGACGCCGCGUGCGGGAUGACGGCCUUCGGGUUGUAAACCGAUUUCGCAGGUGACGAAGCGUGAGUGACGGUAAUGGGUAAAGAAGCAACGGCUAACUACGUG
rnacentral:rRNA from 1 species